CACUAUUAAUAGCUUAUCCUAAGAGUUGGAAACUACGAACAACAGUUUAAACACCAAAGAAUUUGGCGGUGUCUUAUUCAAUUAGGGGAACCUGUCCUUUAAUUCGAUAAUCCACGUAAGUCUUACCUAAUUUUGAAACUCAGUUAGUGUACUGCCGUCUAAAGUAUACCUUCAUGAGUGUAUACCAAAAAUUCUAUAAUAAAUCAUACGUCAGGUCAAAGUGCAGCUUAUAAUUAGGUUGAGAUGGGUUACAAUCUUAAUAAAGAUACGAAAUAAGUUAAUAAAUUAACUUAUAAAGGUGGACUUAAUAGUAAUUAUAAAGAUCUUAUAAUGAACCUUUAAUUAAGACAAGU
rnacentral:rRNA from 1 species